rnacentral:lncRNA from 1 species
UGAACUUCCUAUGAGAAAAUGACAUAAUUCCUUCAAGAAGAUUUCUUUAGUAGCAUUAAUACAAUAAUUGAAAUAAUUUAUUUUAGGAAACAACCCAGAAAGCAAAAUUUCUUUUUUUUUUCCUUUGAGAAGAUAAUCCUUUUACUGUUCAAAAUUUAUCAAAAAUCAUCUUUGCUUUUGCUAUCUCCAAGGUGAUUUGUUUUUGUUUUUAAAAACUAGGACAAAGUAACACCAAAUAUGACAGUGCACCAAUAAUAAUUUUUUCAUUCAACAUCUGCUGUGAUGUUCAGACCAGGAACACCUAUGGAGGCAGAAAGUGAGCUGAACUGAGUGAGUGGUGCUGGGUGUGGGAGGCCCACCUGAGGACUGUUGCCAGCAGCAUAAGAGGCAGACCUGGAGAAGAAGAAGCAGGCUGUUGGGAGCUGAGAGAGGCUGUGGGGAGCUGGCUUUCCUGAUGAACUUUGCUGUUUUCAUCCUCCGAGGAGCUUGGGACCUCACUGGCACUGAGAAUGGCUUCAGUUCACUUUGAAGAGCUCUGGUCCUCACUUUGAGCAUAGUUGCCUGGUUCCGGAGGGGAAGAUGGUGCACUGAUGGCCUCCUGGAAAAGCUUGCUGCAUUGGCUUCCCUGAUGGGAACUCGGCCAUCCUGAUCAUUGGAGGAGCUCGGGACCUCACUGUUGUCGAGGAUGGCUGUGGUACCUUUUGGGGAGCACUGGUUCUUCUGAGCAUCACUUCCUGGCUCCAGUGCAGAUCCCUCAGCCUGCUAGCACAGACUUUGUAGAUUCCACCACUGACCUUUGGACCUUCCCAGGAGAUCCAUGAAACAGUUACUUAGCAUAUGAAAUUCCAGCAAUCUCAUCUAUUCAGAAGCAGCAUAAACUUGAAAAUAAAUGGAAGAUUUCAAAAGAAAAUGAUUGUUUACCAAAUGCAAGUUAAUCAAGAGUAGGCCAUUGGAAAAUGAAGCAUAUGUUCCACAAAAAGAACCCAAUACAUAAAUGCUGAGCACAGAGGAAAUCUCUGAAUUGUGAAAAUGUGACACAGCAGGUGGUUUUUACCUUUUGACCUUCAAUGAUUCCAGUCACUGGAAUUAACAGGUUGGUUUUUGCUGAGCACAAAGCAAUUUCUGUGCUAACUUUUUACGUAGG